AUUGAACGCUGGCGGCAGGCCUAACACAUGCAAGUCGGGCGGGCGGCGGACGGGUGGGUAAUGUAUGGGCAUCUGCCUGAUGGAGGGGUAUGACUACUGGAAACGGUAGCUAAUAACGCAUACCAUCAGAUGAACCGAUAUGGGAUUAGCUUGUUGGUAAGGUAACGGCUUACCAAGGCGACGAUCCCUAGCUGGUCUGAGAGGAUGAUCAGCCACACUGGGACUGAGACACGGCCCAGACUCCUACGGGAGGCAGCAGUGGGGAAUAUUGGACAAUGGGGGAAAGCCUGAUGCAGCCAUGCCGCGUGUAUGAAGAAGGCCUUCGGGUUGUAAAGUACUUUCAGUAGGGAGGCGGUACCUGCAGAAGAAGCACCGGCUAACUCCGUGCCAGCAGCCGCGGUAAUAC
rnacentral:rRNA from 1 species